rnacentral:rRNA from 1 species
UCGAGAAUCAUUCGCAAUGGGGGCAACCCUGACGAUGCGACGCCGCGUGAAGGAUGAAGGCCCUCGGGUUGUAAACUUCUGUCAAGAGGGAAUAAGCAAGUGAAGGUACCUCUAGAGGAAGGGGCGGCUAAUUCCGUGCCAGCAGCCGCGGUAACACGGAAGCCCCGAGCGUUGUUCGGAUUUAUUGGGCGUAAAGGGUGCGUAGGCGGCGCGGAAAGUCUGGUGUGAAAGGCAGGGGCUCAACCUCUGGACUGCACUGGAUACUCCCGUGCUUGAGGACUGGAGGGGAGACUGGAAUUCACGGUGUAGCAGUGAAAUGCGUAGAUAUCGUGAGGAAGACCGGUGGCGAAGGCGAGUCUCUGGACAGUUCCUGACGCUGAGGCACGAAGGCUGGGGUAGCGAACA